rnacentral:rRNA from 1 species
UCUGGUGCCAAUGGCAAAGAGGUCACACCUGAUCCCAUCCCGAACACAGAAGUAAAGCUCUAUAGCGC